ensembl:lncRNA
GGAGGUGAUGCUGGAGGCGAGGAGGUGCCUCCGAGCGCGGUUAUCCCUGGGGAGAAACCAUGUGCCCUUAGGAAAACCCUGCCAGAGCAGCAAAGUUAUUCGGAUAACUGGGAACCGGGGAGGAAGAGGCGGGUGAAGGUGGGCUUUGCUCGGUCGGGGGCUCGGGGUGGUUUUCCGGCUGAUACUCCAGUGUGUGUAUUCCGGGUGCUCCUUGGAGCACGUGGACCAGUGUGGGAAGGGGUUGGGAUGCAGUGGGAGCACAUGGACCAGUUCGGGAAGGGGUUGGGAUGUAUCGGGAGCACAUGGACCAACUCGGGAAGGGGUUGGGAUGCAGUGGGAGCGCAUGGACCAGUGUGGGAAGGGGUUGGGAUGUAGUGGGAGAACGUGAACUGGCUUGGGAAGGGUUUGGGAUGCAGUGGGAGCACGUGGACCAGUAUGGGAAGGGUUUGGGAUGUAUCGGGAGCACAUGGACCAACUCGGGAAGGGAUUUGGCUGCAGUGGGAGUGCAUGGACUGGUGUGGGAAGGGGUUGGGAUGUAUCGGGAGCACAUGGACGGGUGUGGGAAGGGUUGGGAUGCAGUGGGAGAACAUGGACUGACUUGGGAAGGGGUUGGGAUGCAGUGGGAGCACGUGGACCAGUGUGGGAAGGGGUUGGGAUGCAGUGNGAGAACAUGGACUGGUUUGGGAAGGCAUUGGGAUGCAGUGGGAGCGCAUGGACCGGCUCAGGAAGGGGUUGGGCUGCAGUGGGAGUGCAUGGACCUGCAUGGGAAGGGUUGGGAUGUAGUGGGAGAACAUGGACUGGCUUGGGAAGGGGUUGGGAUGCAGUGGGAGCACGUGGACCAAUGUGGGAAGGGUUUGGGAUGUAUUGGGAGCAUAUGGACUGGCAUGGGAAGGGAUUGGGCUGCAGUAGGAGUGCAUGGACCGGUGUGGGAAGGGGUUGGGAUGCAGUGGGAGAAGAUGGACCGACUCAGGAAGGGGUUGGGAUGCAGUGGGAGCGCAUGGACCAGUGUGGGAAGGGGUUGGGAUGCAGUGGGAGCACGUGGACUGGUGUGGGAAGGGGUUGGGAUGCUGCUCUCCAUCCUCUUCCCGUGGGUGAUGCUUUCCCAGCGAUGGCCGUCUCGCUCCGCGCGGUUCGUAAGGAUUCCAUGCCCCGUCUCCCGGAUUUCAGGCGCGGGGGAUCCAUCCCCAACCUUCCCUGACUCGGCACGGCCGCCCUUCCCACGCGCCGGCACCGAGCCGCCGGCAAAAACUCGCACCUCUCCGCUCGCUGCUUCAAAAAUAUCCCCGGCCCCGCGCGGAUGGCGGCUGCCAAGACGGGGAGCGCUCCCCGCUCCGCAGAAAUCUGUCGCCUCGCCGGGGCGGUGGGGAGGUUGGGAGCCGCCGGGCCCCGGCGCCUUCCAAAAUAGAAGCAAAGAACAAAUGGUUUGGAGCAGGAUCGGCGCUGGCGGAGGCAGCCAAGGCUCUUCCCACGGCAGCUGGUGGCUGCUCGGCUGCUUCUUGCUCCCUCCAUCAAUCCUCUCCCGGGUUUUUGGGGUGGGGGGGAGGCGAGCAGUUGAGUUUUGGGGUGGCCCUUUGGGUUGUUGGGGUGGCCCUUUGGGUUAUUGGGGUGGCCUUUUGGGUCGUUGGGGUGGCCCUUUGGGUUUUUGCUAGGGGUGGGGGUGAAGGGGGUGUCAGCGCGGUGCUGAGGUAAGGAGGAGAUGGAGUUGGGCAGCACCACUUCACCCAGGGACUUUGUCCCAAAACGGUGGCGUUGGCACCGGGUUGGGGCUUGGGGCCGGUGUGGUGGCCNNNNNNNNNNNNNNNNNNNNNNNNNNNNNNNNNNNNNNNNNNNNN